CAUAAUCUCUUUGGAGCAAAGCGGGGGAUCUUCGGACCUCGUGCUAUAAGAUGAGCCUACGUCGGAUUAGCUUGUUGGUGGGGUAAUGGCCUACCAAGGCGACGAUCCGUAGCUGGUCUGAGAGGACGAUCAGCCACACUGGGACUGAGACACGGCCCAGACUCCUACGGGAGGCAGCAGUGGGGAAUAUUGGACAAUGGGGGAAACCCUGAUCCAGCAAUGCCGCGUGUGUGAAGAAGGCCUUCGGGUUGUAAAGCACUUUCGGUGGGGAAGAAAUUCUCAAGGGUAAUAUCCUUGGGCGUUGACGUUACCCACAGAAGAAGCACUGGCUAACUCUGUGCCAGCAGCCGCGGUAAUACAGAGAGUGCAAGCGUUAAUCGGAAUCACUGGGCGUAAAGCGCGCGUAGGUGGAUAUUUAAGUCGGAUGUGAAAGCCCUGGGCUUAACCUGGGAAUUGCACCCGAUACUGGGUAUCUUGAGUAUGGUAGAGGGAAGUGGAAUUUCCGGUGUAGCGGUGAAAUGCGUAGAUAUCGGAAAGAACACCAGUGGCGAAGGCGACUUCCUGGC
rnacentral:rRNA from 1 species